rnacentral:rRNA from 1 species
AGAUUGAACGCUGGCGGCAUGCCUAACACAUGCAAGUCGAACGCGAAAGGGGGCAACCCUGAGUAGAGUGGCGGACGGGUGAGUAACGCAUCGGAAUUUACCCUGUUGUGGGGGAUAACCCAGGGAAACUUGGGCUAAUACCGCAUGAUCUGGUGACAGCAAAGCGGGGGCUCAGCAAUGACCUCGCGCAAUGGGAUGAGCCGAUGUCUGAUUAGCUAGUUGGUAGGGUAAAGGCCUACCAAGGCGACGAUCAGUAGCUGGUCUGAGAGGAUGAUCAGCCACACUGGGACUGAGACACGGGCCCAGACUCCUACGGGAGCAGCAGUGGGGAAUAUUGGACAAGUGGGGG